rnacentral:lncRNA from 1 species
GAGAUGAGUGGCUCAGCCCUGUUUGAAGCCAGGCAGCUCCGAGAGGCUGGAGGCAGGGCGGCGCAGCCACUCAGGAGCUGUGGGCGCCGGCUGCAGCCACACUCUGCGCUACUUGUUUCGUAAGGGUUCCCAUCUAGUCCUCGCCAGCAACCCGCAGGCUGCCAUGCCCACGCUCUGAAAGAGGUGAGGAGGCCCGGCACCGGAUGGAGGCGGAUGCCCGGGAGUGAUCUCUCCAAUGUCUGGAAAUACGCCCGCCCCACGGAAGUCUGAUCGGUCUCUUUCCUACUCCGCACUGCACAGGAAAAAAAAAAAAAGGUCCCAGCCUCUUCCAGAAGAGCCAAUCGGAGGCGAGCGUCUGUGGCGUCAGCGCCAGGCCCGGCGCGGAUUGGCUGGGCCGAGGCUCCCACUUCCCCUUGGAGGCAAGGCACGGCUCCCGGCGCGCCCCUCCCGUCUCCCCCCAAAAAAGUUUGAGUCGCCGCGGCCGGGUUGCCAGCGGAGUCGCGCGCCGGGAG